AUGGACUUGGUGGGUCUUUGAAUUUAAAUAAAAUAAACAUGUAUAUGCAACACAAAAUAUUUAUAUUCCUUGUGUAAACAUAAUUUAAUUGAUUAGGAUGAAAAUGUUUUGUUUGAAUGUAAAAUGAACACAUUAUUCUCACAUUGAUUAAAAUUGAUUGAAUUGAAUACUUAAAGCAAUAAAAUUGAGUUUGCACACAAAAUGGCACCUCCUGAGCAGAAGGUGGCAGUAACGCUCAAUGAAAAGGACGUCAAUCGCCAUAAAAGAAGAAUAAACAUCGUUUGUUUUGGGCGCCAAAAUGAAGACUCAGCAGCAGUCAGUCAGAAGAUCUCUCUCAGACGGACACCACGUUAUUAAAGUAAGUUCUAUUAUUUAUUUAUGUUCACUUUAUACGUGAUACAUCUUCACUAGAUAGACAGUUUUUUUUACAAUAUGUAGCCAUUGCAAUGACUUGUAGUAAAAAUGAGUUUGGAGGAUGUUGGUGGAGUAAGUUAACGUUACAGUCAGUCAGUCAGUCAGUCAGUAAGUGUAAGGCUCAUAAAGAAAAACAGCGUUUUAAAAAUGUCAGCUGUAUAACGUUAUUUCACGUUUGGUAGUUUUAUCCGAUUUGAAAACUGUCAGAUUUGAGUUGACUUUUGAGGCACUUUUUACUCAGUUGUUCUAUGGAAACGGUUCAGGACAAAUAAAACGCUAACCAAACGUUAUUCUGUCCAGAGUAACGUUAUCCAUGUAAGUAAUUUACCAGAUGAUAUAAAUUGACUACAUUAAUAAUGACAUUGCGUAUGAAACAAACUGUCUGCUUAAUCAGAUGAACAGACCCGCGUCAGUUAUUCGUGACUUCACUACGCCACGAGCAACACUUGAUUCAAUUAGAAAAAGCUUUUUUAAAUGUCUCGCGUGACGUCUGGUAUAUUAACUGAAAAAAUUGCUUUGAAGUGCCACACCUUAAAGCUGACGUUUUCAGAAGAGCACCUUGUUUUAAGAUCUCAUUUUGUCCAAAAUUGCGUCCUAUGACAGAUAUAAUACUUAUUUCAUUAUUGCUCUGUGUAUGUGUGACCUUAAUCAUUUGAGGUUGUGUGUUGAUUUCACCUCUGAAUAUUUCCUCUUAUAGGUCCAUCAUCCUUGCAUGCGCUACACACUCAAAAGCAUUGAUAAAUGCUGAAUUUAAAAGAAUCACUACUGUCUUAUGUUCCUGCGUGUCACCUGGACCUCCAAUCCAAAAACCUGACGAAACUCUUCUAUCAGAAAGGAGGACAGCUAGCAAAAAGACUUCAAACAAUUAAUGAUCAAAUGACAGAAGUCAUGGAUGAAGUCAGCAUCAGUGUGGUCAUUUGAAGACACCACUGUUGGGAUUUGUGCUCUCAAACAACAUGCUUCUUGUGAUGAAGAAGAGGAUCUUUGUAUAGUCCUGGAAGGCAUGAAGGUGUUGCAACAUCGUGCCAUGUUGUUUGAGCUGAUGUAUGCCUUAAACCUGAGCUAUCCUGAUCUCCGCUUAAUUUUUGAGGAAAUCCAAAAGAUUUUAAUGGAACUGCAUUGAGCGUAACUUUAACGAACAGUUUCUUUCAGUGAAAGGAUCAGAAAGACUGUGCUGCUCAUUUAUGUUCUUUUUAUUUAUCUGUUUUAAGUGUUUUUUCUUAUUAAAACAUUAACAGUUUGCUGCUCAGAGUUGAUUUUGGAAAUGGUUGUUGUAUUUUGUUUUUGUUGAAUCUUUGAUUAUCAGUUUAUACAAAUGCUGUAGCUCUGACUUUCUGAAGGAUUGAUAUUUUCCAGUUUGUAAAUCCAUUUAAAAAAUAAUAGUACUUACU